UACUCUGUAGAUGUGUGUUGAGCCCUAGGCAUUGAGUCACAGACAGUUGCUUGUUGCAGACACGAUUAAGGUUGAGGUCAAUUCUCGAAGUGCCUUGUUUUGAUAUGAUUAGAAGAGUUUUUUCUAAAUUCUAAGUUAUCUCUUUAUCAUAAUUUUAUUAUUCGUCUGUAAUGACGAGUGUGAUUAUAGCUAAAUCGUUUAUGAUCAUCACCAGCCAUGAAUAAAGAUGGAAGUUUUUAUACGCGUUUACUUCUAAGUUUAUUUUUAAUCAUUAAUAUAGGAAUUGCUGAAUGCAACAGUCAAUCUGGUAAAAGUGAUGGCGCUGUUAAAAUGUGCAACAAGUUGUCUUUCGACGGUACACCGGUCGACCGACCCUGUGAGAUCGAACCUGCUCACGAAAGUGAAAAAACUUCCAAGGAAGAAAUAAUAAAACCAAACGUCAACAUGACAGUUACAUCGAAUAACGGCACUGUGACAGAAAAGCCUGGUAACAGUAGCGUGACAGAGAAGCCAAAAAACAGCACUGUGACAGCUGAGCCGAACAGCACUGUGACAACUAAGCCGAACAGCGCUGUGACAGACAAGCCAAAAAACAGCACUGUGACAGCUAAGCCGAACAACGCUGUGACAGACAAGCCAAAAAACAACACUGCAGCAGCUAAGCCGAACAACAGUACUGCGACAGACAAGCCUAGUAAUGGCACUGUGACAGCUAAGCCGAACAACACAGUUACGGAAAAACCGAUGUCGUCCAGCACGAGUCUUCCGACAGCGACCAGCACUGCAAAACCCGCUGAGUAUGUCACCCCUAUACCGCACACCCAAGACCGUCACAGGCUCACCACAGAAGAUGCGAGUAACGGAUUGCAACCUCAAAAGGCUGAAAUGGCCUUGCCGGGCAACAGCAAAUUCGGCACUACCUCAUCGGCGGCUUUGGCAGCUGGAAUCUGCGUGUCGAUCGCCCUCACCGGCUACAUUUCGCUUAUGGUCUGGAGAAGAGUCAUGAUAAGGCGAUAUGGUAAUAGUGAAAUGCUAUUGAAUGAAGAUGAUGUUGCAGAUAUUCAAGAUGAAGAUAUGAAACAUUUUGAGUUAAAGCUGAUGGACAAACAUGGGAACAUAAUUGAGCAUUGAGUUUGCUCAAGGCCGCUUUGUAAACACAAGAUGCCGUUUCAUCUUUUCUUUCUCUGGCUGCUUGCAUUCAAAUUGAAGUUUAAGUCAUUGUGGAUGUGUUUGACUGAUUAUAUUCUAAUCUUGUACUUAUGUGAAAUUAUAUAUACACAUAUCUUUUUAUUAUAUAUAUAUUUUUAUUGUAUUAAUGUAAAUAACCACUUUUUUUCUUGUGAAAGUGCAAUAUGAAAUUAUGUACUAUAAUAUGGUAACUAAUCAAAAGUUGAUAUAAUGUGCCUUUAAAAAUUGUUGUAUUUUAAAAUUGCUAUUAAUAAAGUUUAUUUAUGCAUUUA